GUAAAAUAAUUGAAUAUUUUCAUGUAAAAUUCCCUCUCUCACCCAUUUCCUCCCUAUAAAUCUACCAACAAUCUUCCACUAAGAUAAACUUGAGGUAUUCAAUUCUAAUACAACUACAUAGACUCCAAUAAAUAAGAGAAAUCCGUGUAUAUAUUUUUUGCUUUUUCUUCUUUUUCUCCCAAUUGCUUUCUAUUAUUCCAACUGAUGGUCAUCCACAUCCAACCAUAGAAGGUGCCAUUAUCUUCGCCGGCAUCCAUAACUAGGUAAAGGCAACUUCUCUGAUCUCUUGUCUAGUUUUGACCUCCUUAAUAUUUCUACCUAAUAAAAGUUCCUAACAACAUUUACCAAGGCUCUAUUAGUUUCUAUAUAAGUGUUGAAUAGCACAAGGAGCAACUCCACACGUUUUUGCUGUGAAAAUCGUCUUUUGCUAUAAUUGAGGGCCUUUGAUUCAUGGCUUAAGGAAUGGAUUCUUGAUAUUAUUUUGAUGAGGAGGUAUAUGAAGGUGUAAAAAGUGUCUGGGAAGUUCGUAGAUAAGGGACGCUACAUUAGCACAGGAAGCAACAUGCUUGUCUUUUUUAGUUUACCAUUGUUCCCACAUUUCAAUUACUUUUUAUAUUUUAGGUAUUUCACUUUAUUUACCCAAUAAGUUUGCACUUACAUGUUUUCUUAGAAUAAUUACAUAUGUAUUAGUAUCUGAUUUUGUAUGGAUGUUUAGAUUACGUUUCUCUUUUAUUUUUGUGAGCACUAAAUAC